rnacentral:lncRNA from 1 species
GCUGUCACCAUGUGAAUUUACAUUUAUGUUUAUUCAGGAGAGACAGGAAAGUGUCCCUCUGGGAGGCCUGAUCCUUAACCUCUGCACCCUAAAUUCUGAGACCCACCAAGGCAGUUCCAUAUCAAAUCAGCAGCCUUUCUUGCUCACUGGAUGACAACACUCCUCAGGCCUCUUGCAGCUGUAGCCUGGGCCCAAGUGUCUCGGCCUGCUAUAAGAGCCUGGCUGCAGUUAGAGUCUCUCUAGUGGAAUCUCAGACGAAGCCCUUUCAGAGUAGGCAGGGAGACAGACACAUGAGGAAAUUCACUUCAGCAGGGCAUCUGCUAAGCGUGGCAGGAUUCCUGCUCCAGACUCUCAAAGCCUCCUAUUAAUGGAAAGAGCAGGUUAACCUGGUCUGACCGACAGGAAGCCACCGUACAGGAAUAGGUGGAGCCCUGACAUCCGGUGGGGACAGCUGGGGGAGCGGAUGGGGGAGGGGACACCUAGGUGUGCCAGGGGAACCGAGGUAAAGCUAAGGUCCAGGUGGCCAGCGUGCUGGGUGGCUAUGGGCCACACGAGGGCGCCACACACUGCCACGUAAGGGCCUGAACUGUCUCUACUGAGCUAUGUCAGAGAAAAGGCCUUGAUGGGAAAGAGGGUGGGCGGAGACCAUCCUGGGUGUCCAGCGACGGGCCCCUCUCUUGUUCCUUGAAGGUCGGCGUGAGGUCUCCCUGGACUUGGAACAGCCGCUGUUCAGGUCCUGAGGAAUUAACGCCUCUGUAGAUCAGGUCCAGCUGUGUGUAGGAGGGAGGAUGUUUGCGGUCACUGGGGUGUGUUGUGUUAGGAAUGACCGCAGUACUGGGGUGUGAGGGUGGGUGUGUGGAUUUCUCCAGAGGUGUAGGUGGGAGGGAGUAGACAGUUUCUACUCCCAGAGGGCUGGCGCUAGUGUCUUCUAGGAGCAGCACUUAAGGCAAGAUGUAGACCCCAUUAGAAUCAGACGGUCUUCCCAUCAGAGGAAGUCCCCCG